rnacentral:rRNA from 1 species
CAGCAGCCGCGGGAAAACGAAGGGUGCAAGCGUUAAUCGGAAUUACUGGGCGUAAAGCGUGCGUAGGCGGUGAGUUAAGUCUGCUGUGAAAGCCCUGGGCUCAACCUGGGAAUUGCAGUGGAUACUGGGUCACUAGAGUGUGGUAGAGGAUAGUGGAAUUUCCGGUGUAGCAGUGAAAUGCGUAGAGAUCGGAAGGAACAUCUGUGGCGAAGGCGACUAUCUGGGCCAACACUGACACUGAGGCACGAAAGCGUGGGGAGCAAACAGGAUUAGAUACCCCAGUCCCUGUCUCUUAUACACA